rnacentral:rRNA from 1 species
AUUGAACGCUGGCGGCAGGCCUAACACAUGCAAGUCGAGCGGAUGAAGGGAGCUUGCUCCUGGAUUCAGCGGCGGACGGGUGAGUAAUGCCUAGGAAUCUGCCUGGUAGUGGGGGAUAACGUCCGGAAACGGGCGCUAAUACCGCAUACGUCCUGAGGGAGAAAGUGGGGGAUCUUCGGACCUCACGCUAUCAGAUGAGCCUAGGUCGGAUUAGCUAGUUGGUGGGGUAAAGGCCUACCAAGGCGACGAUCCGUAACUGGUCUGAGAGGAUGAUCAGUCACACUGGAACUGAGACACGGUCCAGACUCCUGCGGGAGGCAGCAGUGGGGAAUAUUGGACAAUGGGCGAAAGCCUGAUCCAGCCAUGUCGCGUGUGUGAAGAAGGUCUUCGGAUUGUAAAGCACUUUAAGUUGGGAGGAAGGGCAGUAAGUUAAUACCUUGCUGUUUUGACGUUACCAACAGAAUAAGCACCGGCUAACUUCGUG